UCUUCCUAUUUUCCUCCUGGUGUUUUUUUUUUUGUUUUUGCACCAUCCCCUGGUUCUACAGGCAGCCUGGGGGUGGGGGCUGCAGCUCGCUGCCCCCCAGCUGUGGCCAUCACCUGUGGCUCCCUGGGGCUGGGCAGGUGGCAGAGGCUCUUGCUGCUGGUGCUUUGGGGCUUUUUGCCCCCAAAUUCAUGGUGUGUGCUGCUUUGGGAGAGAGAAGAGGCAGAGCACAGUCCCAGCCUGCUUUACCCUGUGCCCUGGAGGAGACAAAGUCCUGGCGUGCUGCAUUUUGGAGAGGGGAAGCUGAGGCCUUCACCCAUGGGAACCUCCCAAGGACAUGGAUUCCUGGUGACAACCCCCUUCCCACCCAGCUGCCUGUGUGCAGAAGCAGAUUUUGGGCCAUGGGAUCCCCACUCCAGCGCCGCCGCGUCCUGCUGCACAUCUUGCGCCUAAAUUAUUCACGCCGCUCGCAAGCUGCUCCGUGCAGCCCGGAGUCGUCCUGCGGUUGAUUUUAAGGCAUGGUGACAGGUCGAGGACUGGAUCAGUAGCGUUAAUACACGAGCACGGGGCACGCGGCGCCAGCGGAGCAGAUGUCGUGUAAGUCACAGCGUGUUAACGCUGCGAUGAGGCAUCGCGGUGACGCUGCUGAGAUGAUGCCACCUUGGAGAGCAAACGGGGCGUAGUGGUAAUCAAGGAUGCUCCGUUCUGCUUCUCCCAUGAGCAUCUCCAUUGGAUCUGUUAAAUCUCGUCCAGGACCCGCUCCGGGAUGCUGCGGGAGAUGGGAUGCUCUUUGCCUGGUUUUUGGUGCCUGGAGGGAAGUUAUCGGUACCCGCGCAGGUUGUGCAUCUUUCCUUAAAGAUCAGCACAGAGAAAGAAAUGCCUUCAGGGGGCUGUUAGCUUGUGCUAGUGUAAGGCAAGAAAGCAAAGAUGAAGGACGUCUCCUUUUUUCCUUCUUGACUGUUAAGGCUGUGAAGGUCAUGGCCAAGAUGUGAAUACCCAAAAAAGACAUCUCGGGUGAUGAAGAUGAAGCCCACCUUGGGUUUCAGUUUGGUUGGAUGCCAGACUGGCCAGAAAGUCAAGAAGAAAAAGGCCCGGUCCUUUUGCUGCCUUAUCUGACUUGCACCUUGCAAGGAGUGAGUCAACUGGAAGGAAGCAAAACCUUGCACUUGGAUUCAAAGCCAAAAUCAGGUUCUGACACUGCAAAGCUUGGAAAUGCUUGUGGUGUCUUUCCUCCCAUUGUAGCACGGGGGUUCUCUUUGCAGCCUUCCCACCCAACAAACAAAAACCAACCCCCAAAACAACGGGGUUACUUGAAACCUCACCCAGGAUGGCUGCAUUUUUUUCCCAGCUCCUUUGCAAGGGCUGGGAUCCUGUCUGCAGUGAGAGAUUGGUGGCGUGCUCACCCCCAUGCAGGGGCCCUUCAGCCUCUCCAGUUGCUUUUGGGGUUGCCCACAGGGGUCCCAGGGUCUUGCUGGGGGCCGGGGCAGCUUUGCACCUGGCAGGAAGGGAUUCAGGGAGGCGGCAGCAAAAGCUCAGCCAGCAUGCCAAAAUCCUCAUUAAAGACGCAUGAGCUUGGCAGUAUAUAAAUAUGAAACUUGGACAAAGACAGCUUUUUUUUUCUUGUCUGUUCCCCCCGUCGCCAAAGUACAAUCAAUUUCCUCAGAGUAAGUAAGAGCAUCUAUAUAUAGCCAUGGGGAGAUGCUGAAGUGUUGCAAAAGGCUCUGCUCAGGCGGCAGGGUGCACUCCCCAGGCUUGGUGAGUGCCUGAAGGAAACCCCCAGGAGCUGGGAAUGUGGGGCUGAAGGGGCUGAAGUCCCUUUUCUGUGUACACUGGCUCCGUGAAGGUGGCCGUGCACCCUCCAGCACCCAAGGUGAUGCCUCUUCGCUCUGCUGUAAGAAGAUAAAGGAGCCCAGCAGCUCCUGGUUUGCAGGAAGUCGAAGGGUACUUUUUGCUUUUUUAAAUUUUCAAAUCGGAUUUUUAUUUAAAAUGGUUAUCUAUGAAAAGCAGGAGCCCAUAAGAGGGUUAAUGACUCGGUCACUGGUUCCCCGCGAGCCAGCAAUAACCUGAUAAAUCGCUGAGUACACUCAGGCUCGCAUCGCCUGAGUCCCAGCUCAGGCUAUUUCCUGUGCGGUGGAGACCUCUGAGUAGGUCAUUACUGCCUAAUUACUGCCUAAACGCUCUCAUUUGUCCUCCCGUUGUCAGCCCAGCCAUGGCAGAAGUUCCUCCUGGCCUCCCGCGUCUCUCAGACCCAAGAAAAAAAAUGGUGAAGAAAGACAGAAGCAAGGCUUUUUUCCCAUCAUAUUGCAAAGAAAACUCCUUCCACUCCAGCAUGUGCUGGCACCCGGCUUUUUCCUUCGUUACAAGCCGGGGAUGAGCACGACACAUUUUGGGUGCUUGCAGCAGAGCUCGUCCCUUCUCCUCGCCUCUGCUGUUGCAUUUGAUGGCUUGGUCGUGAGCACCCAUCUCUCGCUCCCGCAGCCAAAAGCACUGCCACGUCAGCAUCUUCCCCAGCCUCGUGCUGUUUGGGCAGAGCGUCAGGCUUCGGGUGGGUCCUGGAUUUUAUUUUAUUUUUU